rnacentral:rRNA from 1 species
UAACCUGCCCAAGAGAUCGGGAUAACACCUUGAAACAGAUGCUAAUACCGGAUAACAACAGAUGAUGCCUAUCAACUGUUUAAAAGAUGGUUCUGCUAUCACUCUUGGAUGGACCUGCGGUGCAUUAGCUAGUUGGUAGGGUAACGGCCUACCAAGGCGAUGAUGCAUAGCCGAGUUGAGAGACUGAUCGGCCACAUUGGGACUGAGACACGGCCCAAACUCCUACGGGAGGCAGCAGUG